rnacentral:rRNA from 1 species
ACGCUCGACACCUACGGGAGGCAGCAGUGGGGAAUAUUGGGCAAUGGGCGCAAGCCUGACCCAGCAACGCCGCGUGAAGGAAGAAGGCUUUCGGGUUGUAAACUUCUUUUCUCAGGGACGAAGGAAGUGACGGUACCUGAGGAACAAGCCACGGCUAACUACGUGCCUGCAGCCGCGGUAAUCUGAGGCGGGCUGGACAAGGC